rnacentral:rRNA from 1 species
UGUUGCCUACGGGGGGCAGCAGUGAGGAAUAUUGGUCAAUGGGCGCGAGCCUGAACCAGCCAAGUCGCGUGAGGGAUGACGGUCCUACGGAUCGUAAACCUCUUUUGCCGGGGAGCAAGCGUGCGUUCGUGAACGCGCGUCGAGAGUACCCGGAGAAAAAGCAUCGGCUAACUCCGUGCCAGCAGCCGCGGUAAUACGGAGGAUGCGAGCGUUAUCCGGAUUUAUUGGGUUUAAAGGGUGCGUAGGCGGGCUGCCACGUCAGCGGUAAAAAUGCGGUGCUCAACGCCGUCGA